rnacentral:tRNA from 1 species
GGUAGGGUGGCCGAGGCUAGGCGGUGGAUUGUAACUCCAUGAACAGAGGUUUAAACCCUCUUCCUAUCA